rnacentral:rRNA from 1 species
CCUACGGGUGGCUGCAGUGGGGAAUAUUGGACAAUGGGCGAAAGCCUGAUCCAGCCAUGCCGCGUGUGUGAAGAAGGCCUUCGGGUUGUAAAGCACUUUCAGUGGGGAAGAAAGCCUUGGGGCUAAUACCCUCGAGGAAGGACAUCACCCACAGAAGAAGCACCGGCUAACUCCGUGCCAGCAGCCGCGGUAAUACGGAGGGUGCGAGCGUUAAUCGGAAUUACUGGGCGUAAAGCGCGCGUAGGCGGUCUGAUAAGCCGGUUGUGAAAGCCCCGGGCUCAACCUGGGAACGGCAUCCGGAACUGUCAGGCUAGAGUGCAGGAGAGGAAGGUAGAAUUCCCGGUGUAGCGGUGAAAUGCGUAGAGAUCGGGAGGAAUACCAGUGGCGAAGGCGGCCUUCUGGACUGACACUGACGCUGAGGUGCGAAAGCGUGGGUAGCAAACAGGAUUAGAUACCCGGGUAAUC